GGCUACGUAGCUCAGUUGGUUAGAGCACAGCACUCAUAACGCUGGGGUCACAGGUUCAAUUCCUGUCGUAGCCACCAUUU
rnacentral:tRNA from 1 species